rnacentral:rRNA from 1 species
AUUGAACGCUGGCGGCAUGCCUUACACAUGCAAGUCGAACGGCAGCACGGGAGCAAUCCUGGUGGCGAGUGGCGAACGGGUGAGUAAUAUAUCGGAACGUGCCCAGUCGUGGGGGGUAACGCAGCGAAAGCUGUGCUAAUACCGCAUACGAUCUAAGGAUGAAAGCGGGGGAUCGCAAGACCUCGCGCGAUUGGAGCGGCCGAUAUCAGAUUAGCUAGUUGGUGGGGUAAAGGCCCACCAAGGCGACGAUCUGUAGCUGGUCUGAGAGGACGACCAGCCACACUGGAACUGAGACACGGUCCAGACUCCUACGGGAGGCAGCAGUGGGGAAUUUUGGACAAUGGGCGCAAGCCUGAUCCAGCAAUGCCGCGUGCAGGAUGAAGGCCUUCGGGUUGUAAACUGCUUUUGUACGGAACGAAACGGCCCUUUCUAAUACAGGGGGCUAAUGACGGUACCGUAAGAAUAAGCACCGGCUAACUACGUGCCAGCCGCCGCAGUAACAC